UACGAAGGGGGCUAGCGUUGCUCGGAAUCACUGGGCGUAAAGCGCACGUCGGCGGCUUUUUAAGUCAGGGGUGAAAUCCUGGAGCUCAACUCCAGAACUGCCUUUGAUACUGAGAAGCUUGAGUCCGGGAGAGGUGAGUGGAACUGCGAGUGUAGAGGUGAAAUUCGUAGAUAUUCGGAGGAACACCAGUGGCGAAGGCGGCUCACUGGCUCGGUACUGACGCUGAGGUGCGAAAGCGUGGGGAGCAAACAGG
rnacentral:rRNA from 1 species